rnacentral:rRNA from 1 species
UACGUAGGGGGCAAGCGUUGUCCGGAUUUAUUGGGCGUAAAGAGCGUGUAGGCGGCCUGAUAGGUCUGCUGUGAAAACUCGAGGCUCAACCUCGAGAUGUCGGCGGAAACCGUCUGGCUAGAGUCCGGAAGAGGAGAGUGGAAUUCCUGGUGUAGCGGUGAAAUGCGUAGAGAUCGGGAAGAACAUCGGUGGCGAAAGCGCUCUGCUGGACUGCAACUGACACUCAGGGACGAAAGCUAGGGGAGCGAAUGGG